GUUUCAUUGUUCCCUGGGAUUGGCUUUGGAUCUUUCCUGCGCAACUUAGGUGGAAGACGAAGAAGGCCUCCUUCCCGGGGAGUCCGAGCCAUCAGUGAGAUACCACUCUGGAAGAGUUAGAAUUCUAACCUUGUGUUAGGACCUACGGGCCAAGGAACAGUCUCAGGUAGACAGUUUCUAUGGAGCGUAGGCCUCCCAAAAAGUAACGAAAGCACAGUUAACUUCGGAAUUAAAC
rnacentral:ncRNA from 1 species